rnacentral:rRNA from 1 species
UGCGGAAGGAUCAUUAAUGAAGCAUCUGAGUCGGUUGUCGCUGCCUUGUAAAAGAGGAUGUGCACGCCUUCUCUAUCUUCUACUUAACCACUUGUGAACCUUUGCUGGCUUGAUUCAAGUCUAGCGGGCUGACUGUUGACCCUCUCGUACGAAAAUUACGGAUGGCGAGUUUACACUGUAGCAGGUGUUCUCUUGCAAUUGAUACAGUCAUGCCAAUCUUAUAAACCAUGUUAAAACUUUGCAUGUUCAAUGUUAUUGGUUGUARUGACCUUUAAUGAAAUAAUACAACUCUGAGCAACGGAUCUCUAGGCUCUUGCAUCGAUGAAGAACGCAGCGAAAUGCGAUAAGUAAUGUGAAUUGCAGAAUUCAGUGAAUCAUCGAAUCUUUGAACGCACCUUGCACCCUUUGGUAUUCCGAAGGGUACCCCUGUUUGAGUGUCAUUAUUAUUCUCAAACUCACACUUGUUGUAAUGACUUGUUGUGGGCUUUGGAUGUGGGGACUACUGGACUCCAUUAAUUUGGAGGUCGGUUUCCCUUAAAUGUAUUAGUGGUUUGUCGGGCCCCAGCUCUUGAUGUAGUUUUAUGUUUUUUCAAACGGCUAUGUCUUAUACAGUCUGGCUAGUCCAUGCUAUGGCAGCUGCUCUCUAACCGUCUCUUUGAGACAACUUGAAACAUUUGGCCUCAAAUCAGGUGGGACUACCCGCUGAACUUAAGCAUAU